rnacentral:tRNA from 1 species
GCAUCAGUAUGUCAACUGGAUAGAGUACUGCCCUCCGAAGGCAGGGGUCGUGGGUUCGAAUCCCGCCGGAUGCGCCA